CCUACGUGAGGCAGCAGUGGGGAAUAUUGGGCAAUGGGCGCAAGCCUGACCCAGCAACGCCGCGUGAAGGCAGAAGGCUUUCGGGUUGUACACUUCUUUUGUCAGGGACGAAGCAAGUGACGGUACCUGACGAAUAAGCCACGGCUAACUACGUGCCAGCAGCCGCGGUAAUACGUAGGUGGCAAGCGUUAUCCGGAUUUACUGGGUGUAAAGGGCGUGUAGGCGGGGAAGCAAGUCAGAUGUGAAAACCACGGGCUCAACCUGUGGCCUGCAUUUGAAACUGUUUUUCUUGAGUGCUGGAGAGGUAAGUGGAAUUCCUAGUGUAGCGGUGAAAUGCGUAGAUAUUAGGAGGAACACCAGUGGCGAAGGCGGCUUACUGGACUGUAACUGACGUUGAGGCUCGAAAGCGUGGGGAGCAAACAGGAUUAGAUACCCUUGUAGUC
rnacentral:rRNA from 1 species